UAGUCCACGCCGUAAACGAUGAUAACUAGCCGUUAGAUUUAUCUAGUGGCGCAGCUAACGCAUUAAGUUAUCCGCCUGGGGAGUACGGCCGCAAGGCUAAAACUCAAAUGAAUUGACGGGGACCCGCACAAGCGGUGGAGCAUGUGGUUUAAUUCGAUGCAACGCGAAAAACCUUACCUACAAUUGACAUACUGCGAAUUUUCUAGAGAUAGAUUAGUGCCUUCGGGAACGCAGAUACAGGUGCUGCAUGGCUGUCGUCAGCUCGUGUCGUGAGAUGUUCGGUUAAGUCCGGCAACGAGCGCAACCCACAUCCCUAGUUGCCAGCAGUUCGGCUGGGCACUCUAUGGAAACUGCCCGUGAUAAGCGGGAGGAAGGUGUGGAUGACGUCAAGUCCUCAUGGCCCUUACGGGUUGGGCUACACACGUGCUACAAUGGUAGUGACAAUGGGUUAAUCCCAAAAGCUAUCUCAGUUCGGAUUGGGGUCUGCAACUCGACCCC
rnacentral:rRNA from 1 species